rnacentral:rRNA from 1 species
ACGGGAGGCAGCAGUGGGGAAUUUUGGGCAAUGGGCGAAAGCCUGAUCCAGCGACGCCGCGUGAGGGAAGAAGUAUUUCGGGAUGUAAAGCUCUAUCAGCAGGGAAGAUAAUGACGGUACCUGACUAAGAAGCCCCGGCUAACUACGUGCCAGCAGCCGCGGUAAUACGUAGGGGGCAAGCGUUAUCCGGAUUUACUGGGUGUAAAGGGAGCGUAGACGGUAUGGCAAGUCUGAUGUGAAAACCCAGGGCUCAACCCUGGGACUGCAUUGGAAACUGUCAAACUAGAGUGCAGGAGAGGUAAGUGGAAUUCCUAGUGUAGCGGUGAAAUGCGUAGAUAUUAGGAGGAACACCAGUGGCGAAGGCGGCUUACUGGACCGUAACUGACGUUGAGGCUCGAAAGCGUGGGGAGCAAACAGGAUUAGAUACCCUGGUA